rnacentral:rRNA from 1 species
UACGAACCACACAAACGUUAUUCGGAAUUACUGGGCUUAAAGGGUGCGUAGGCGGCGCAGAAAGUAGGGUGUGAAAUCCCUCGGCUCAACCGAGGAACUGCGCCCUAAACUACUGUGCUCGAGGGAGGUAGAGGUGAGCGGAACUUAGGGUGGAGCGGUGAAAUGCGUUGAUAUCCUAAGGAACACCGGUGGCGAAAGCGGCUCACUGGACCUCUUCUGACGCUGAGGCACGAAAGCUAGGGUAGCGAACGGG